CCUUGGAUAGUUAUGACUGUUUUAUCGAUUCUGUUGUUGCUGGUUGGACUUCUUCAUUUCGGCAACUAUAUUCAGAACAAAGGCACAGCUGAUGCUCAAACAGUCACUGUUGAGGCCCGUCGAGUGUCAGCAGAUGCACCAAGCGACCAAGUGAUGUAUGCUGCGAUUACAAUAGACAGAACAAAGAGAG